rnacentral:rRNA from 1 species
AGAACGAACGCUGGCGGCAGGCCUAACACAUGCAAGUCGAACGCCGUAGCAAUACGGAGUGGCAGACGGGUGAGUAACACGUGGGAACGUACCCUUCGGUUCGGAAUAACUCAGGGAAACUUGAGCUAAUACCGGAUACGUCCGUAAGGAGAAAGAUUUAUCGCCGAAGGAUCGGCCCGCGUCUGAUUAGCUUGUUGGUGAGGUAACGGCUCACCAAGGCGACGAUCGAUAGCUGGUCUGAGAGGAUGAUCAGCCACAUUGGGACUGAGACACGGCCCAAACUCCUACGGGAGGCAGCAGUGGGGAAUAUUGGACAAUGGGCGCAAGCCUGAUCCAGCCAUGCCGCGUGAGUGAUGACGGCCUUAGGGUUGUAAAGCUCUUUCGCUCGGGACGAUAUGACGGUCCGAGAUAAGAGCCCCGGCUAACUUCGUGCCAGCAGCCG